rnacentral:tRNA from 1 species
GCUCGAGUAGCUCAGUUGGUAGGGCAUAACACUCUUAAUCUUAGGCUCGUGGGUUCGGGCCCCACGUUGGGCG